CAAGUUGCUGAAUAUUUGAUUGUGAUCUCAAGUCUCAACUUCUGAAUCGGCUUGAAAAUGUCUGAUAUACAUGCAGUACCACUUAAAUUCAAUUUGCCAAUUUGGUGUAACAAAAUAUUAUUCCCACCCUCCCCUUCUCUUUUACAUAAACACAGAAGAAAAAAAAAAGGAAAAAAAAACUUUAUCACUUAUUGCCUUAUUUGAGCAACUACUAUGCUUAUUAUUUUUAAUAAAUCUGUUGGUGAUAACUUUUCAUGUGAAAUCGGCUUUAGAUCUUCUUCAACUCCUGCUGCUAGCUACUUUACUUUGAAAGUUUCAAGUUUUAAUAUUUGCUGAGAAAGAAAAAAGGAGGAUUGCUUUCUAUUUUCUACUUGUUUCAGAUCUUCUAAGGCAAGAAUGACUUAAAAGAUGGAAAUGAAACAUAC